UGGGGAAUUUUGGACAAUGGGGGAAACCCUGAUCCAGCCAUCCCGCGUGUGCGAUGAAGGCCUUCGGGUUGUAAAGCACUUUUGGCAGGAAAGAAACGUCAUGGGUUAAUACCCCGUGAAACUGACGGUACCUGCAGAAUAAGCACCGGCUAACUACGUGCCAGCAGCCGCGGUAAUACGUAGGGUGCAAGCGUUAAUCGGAAUUACUGGGCGUAAAGCGUGCGCAGGCGGUUCGGAAAGAAAGAUGUGAAAUCCCAGAGCUCAACUUUGGAACUGCAUUUUUAACUACCGGGCUAGAGUGUGUCAGAGGGAGGUGGAAUUCCGCGUGUAGCAGUGAAAUGCGUAGAUAUGCGGAGGAACACCGAUGGCGAAGGCAACCUCCUGGGAUAACACUGACGCUCAUGCACGAAAGCGUGGGGAGCAAACAGG
rnacentral:rRNA from 1 species